rnacentral:rRNA from 1 species
AUUGAACGCUGGCGGAAUGCUUUACACAUGCAAGUCGAACGGCAGCACGGGGCAACCUGGUGGCGAGUGGCGAACGGGUGAGUAAUAUAUCGGAACGUGCCCAAUCGUGGGGGAUAACGUAGCGAAAGUUACGCUAAUACCGCAUACGAUCUACGGAUGAAAGCGGGGGAUCGCAAGACCUCGCGCGAAUGGAGCGGCCGAUAUCAGAUUAGGUAGUUGGUGGGGUAAAGGCUCACCAAGCCAACGAUCUGUAGCUGGUCUGAGAGGACGACCAGCCACACUGGAACUGAGACACGGUCCAGACUCCUACGGGAGGCAGCAGUGGGGAAUUUUGGACAAUGGGCGCAAGCCUGAUCCAGCCAUUCCGCGUGCAGGAUGAAGGCCUUC